UAAAAAGGGGGCGGGGCUGUCCCGCCCUGUUUUCCUGUUUCAAUUAAAAUGACGUCAACACAUAGAAUAACGCUGCUACGCACCUUAAAAACCCGCCAAUAAACCCAGAGAAGAAGAAGAAGAACGCUGCGUGUGUCAAAGCAUUUCAGGGGACCUUUAAGGUUUAUAACAUCAUUAAUCAAUCCAAAUCCUAUUACUCUUCUAACCCUCGCGUUCCUGGACAUGAUGCUGAGUGCUGUGCUGUGACGCAUCUCCAACACUAGAGAGCAGAACUGCAACAGCUCUUUGACAGCUAUUUGACUUGCUGAAAUGGGGUCCUACAGGACCAAAGCCUGCUCAUGUAACAGUCUCUCCCGUAGCACCACAACUGAAUACCUGUAGAAUGUAGUUUCCUGGUUUAACAUUUGUGAUGUCAAUCCACUGGCAGUCGAUAUCAUGUCUGUACAAGUCCUAGCAGCCCACUGUGAUGCCCUGCUCACCACAAGUUGGGGCACUUGUAAUGUUUCGAAACACCUGCAACAAGCGGUUAUCUUACUCUCAGGCCACUGCUCGCAUGUCCCAACCCCAGCUGUCUGCACACUACCAUGGCUUCCCAAGAUGUCCAUCUGUCCCCGCAGACCAAACCCCAGUCCCUCACCCCACUGCCUGUAGAGAGCAGCAGCUCAACACUCCCUUCCAACCGCGUUCGACCCCCUGUCAUACGGAUCUGUGAUGGGUUACAGAGCAAGCAUGUGAAAGAAUUAAAAGACUUAAGGACCUUGACUUUGAUCAUUUAACCUGAUAAGCAGGGCUGAUCUAGGGCUGUGAGAACUUGAUUUUACCUUGCAUUGCAUCACCUAUUUGAAUAAAAGCAUGCUCGUUUUAAGUGACUUUACA
ensembl:lncRNA